rnacentral:rRNA from 1 species
GACGAACGCUGGCGGCGUGCCUAAUACAUGCAAGUUGAGCGCUGAAGGUUGGUACUUGUACCGACUGGAUGAGCAGCGAACGGGUGAGUAACGCGUGGGGAAUCUGCCUUUGAGCGGGGGACAACAUUUGGAAACGAAUGCUAAUACCGCAUAAAAACUUUAAACACAAGUUUUAAGUUUGAAAGAUGCAAUUGAAUCACUCAAAGAUGAUCCCGCGUUGUAUUAGCUAGUUGGUGAGGUAAAGGCUCACCAAGGCGAUGAUACAUAGCCGACCUGAGAGGGUGAUCGGCCACAUUGGGACUGAGACACGGCCCAAACUCCUACGGGAGGCAGCAGUAGGGAAUCUUCGGCAAUGGACGAAAGUCUGACCGAGCAACGCCGCGUGAGUGAAGAAGGGUUUCGGAUCGUAAAACUCUGUUGGUAGAGAAGAACGUUGGUGAGAGUGGAAAGCUCAUCAAGUGACGGUAACUACCCAGAAAGGGACGGCUAACUACGUG